AACUAAUCAGAAUGUUUGAUUAUUAGACCAUGGUAUUUGAUUUUCCAAAUACAUCAUUAUUGUAUACUCUUUCAUAUAUAUAGCGCAAUCCAAUUUUUCUUUUUUACUUUUUUUUUUGAAAUGGAAAUACCUAUCUAACCUAAAUAAUAAGAACUUCCCCCUUGACAGUGGUAUAUGUUGUAUAUGUAAAUCCUAGAUGUGAAAAUAUACGGAAUUCCUCUAUGAAUCUAU
rnacentral:lncRNA from 1 species